AUGGAGAUUUUCAUUUCUGCGUUGAUGGGUGAACUCAUAUCAAGAUCGGUGAGUUCCAUCAUCAACAAAUACUCCAAGCCACCGGCGCAGGCCGUUGAGGCUGGCUUGGAGAGGAUUCUACUCAGGGGGCAGGUCAUCAUCGACGCGGCCAUGGGCAGGCACAUCACAAACCAUGGAAUGCUCCAGCAGCUUAGCAUGCUGAGGUAUGCCAUGUACCAAGGCUACUAUGUGCUCGACACCUUCAGAUGCCAAGCGUACCAAGAAGAGGAGAAUUUUCAGUCUGUGAGUCAAUCUGGGGUCGUGUCCAAAUUUCGUUAUGCACAACGGCUCUGUCUCUCCAGCGGCAACAGCAAAAAAACAUCAGAAGCGCUUGAAGAGGCCCUCGACGGUUUGAGAUCCAUGAUUCUUGAUGCCAGCGAGAUGGUCAGGUUCCUGACAACAUAUCCUCACCUGCAUCGUCAGCCUUACAGCAUGCAUCUCUUGCUGGACAAGUGCAUGUUUGCGCGCCAGAACUGGUUAUCAACUUCCUAUUGUGCACACAACCUUCUACUGGUAGUCUCGGCGGGUUUGAUGUCCUCCCAAUUGUUGGUCCGGACAGUGUUGGAAAGAGCACUCUUGUCGCUCAUGUCUGUGAAGACGAAAGAGUACGUGAUUGCUUCUCACAGAUUGUUUCUUUCAGGCAUGAUAAUUUCAGAGUUCAAGAUAUAG
rnacentral:rRNA from 1 species